UCUCCUAUGUUUCAGUUGGUAAGGCUCAUGAUCAUCAAUCAUGAGCUUCGCGGUUCGAAUCCGCGUGGGGGUA